rnacentral:ncRNA from 1 species
AGGGGUAGUGGUCCUCCGAGAUCUGCCUGCAGGGGUCGGUCUCAAACUGCCUCCGAGUGGCAUUGGUUAAAGACCGUUGUCGCGAGCGUCGGAGGAAAAGUAAUGUUUGAACAUUGCAAGU